rnacentral:rRNA from 1 species
GACGAACGCUGGCGGCGUGCUUAACACAUGCAAGUCGAACGGAAAGGCCCCCACCUUGGUGGGGGUGCUCGAGUGGCGAACGGGUGAGUAACACGUGGGUGAUCUGCCCUGUACUUCGGGAUAAGCUUGGGAAACUGGGUCUAAUACCGGAUAGGACCAUGGUUUAGCGUCUCAUGGUGGAAAAAUUAUUGUUUUGGUGCAGGAUGAGCUCGCGGCCUAUCAGCUUGUUGGUGGGGUAAUGGCCUACCAAGGCGUCGACGGGUAGCCGGCCUGAGAGGGUGGACGGCCACAUUGGGACUGAGAUACGGCCCAGACUCCUACGGGAGGCAGCAGUGGGGAAUAUUGCACAAUGGGCGCAAGCCUGAUGCAGCGACGCCGCGUGGGGGAUGACGGCCUUCGGGUUGUAAACUCCUUUCGUUAGGGACGAAGCCACACCUUUUUUGGGUGUGGUGACGGUACCUUUGUUAAGAAGCACCGGCUAACUACGUG